rnacentral:rRNA from 1 species
GUGGGGAAUCUUAGACAAUGGGCGCAAGCCUGAUCCAGCAAUGCCGCGUGCAGGAAGAAGGCCUUCGGGUUGUAAACUGCUUUUGUACGGAACGAAACGGUCCGGGUUAAUACCCUGGGCUAAUGACGGUACCGUAAGAAUAAGCACCGGCUAACUACGUGCCAGCAGCCGCGGUAAUACGUAGGGUGCAAGCGUUAAUCGGAAUUACUGGGCGUAAAGCGUGCGCAGGCGGUUUUGUAAGACAGGCGUGAAAUCCCCGGGCUCAACCUGGGAAUUGCGCUUGUGACUGCAAGGCUGGAGUGCGGCAGAGGGGGAUGGAAUUCCGCGUGUAGCAGUGAAAUGCGUAGAUAUGCGGAGGAACACCGAUGGCGAAGGCAAUCCCCUGGGCCUGCACUGACGCUCAUGCACGAAAGCGUGGGGAGCAAACAGGAUUAGAUACCCGUGUAGCC